GCGCAAGUGAAAUACCACUACUU
rnacentral:snRNA from 1 species